GACGGAGGAUGCAAGCGUUAUCCGGAAUGAUUGGGCGUAAAGCGUCCGCAGGUGGCAGUUCAAGUCUGCUGUCAAAGACCGGGGCUUAACUUCGGAAAGGCAGUGGAAACUGAACAGCUAGAGUAUGGUAGGGGCAGAGGGAAUUCCUGGUGUAGCGGUGAAAUGCGCAGAUAUCAGGAGGAACACCGGUGGCGAAGGCGGGUCUCUGGGCCGAUACUGACGCUGGAGGAGCGAAAGCGUGGGGAGCGAACAGG
rnacentral:rRNA from 1 species